rnacentral:rRNA from 1 species
AGAGUUUGAUCCUGGCUCAGAUUGAACGCUGGCGGCAUGCCUUACACAUGCAAGUCGAACGGCAGCACGGGGGUAACCCUGGUGGCGAGUGGCGAACGGGUGAGUAAUACAUCGGAACGUGUCCUGUAGUGGGGGAUAGCCCGGCGAAAGCCGGAUUAAUACCGCAUACGAUCUACGGAUGAAAGCGGGGGAUCUUCGGACCUCGCGCUAUAGGGGCGGCCGAUGGCAGAUUAGCUAGUUGGUGGGGUAAAGGCCUACCAAGGCGACGAUCUGUAGCUGGUCUGAGAGGACGGCCAGCCACACUGGGACUGAGACACGGCCCAGACUCCUACGGGAGGCAGCAGUGGGGAAUUUUGGACAAUGGGGGAAACCCUGAUCCAGCAAUGCCGCGUGUGUGAAGAAGGCCUUCGGGUUGCAAAGCACUUUUGUCCGG